AGAGGGGGACAACAGUUGGAAACGACUGCUAAUACCGCAUACGAUCUAAUCUCGGCAUCGAGGAUAGAUGAAAGGUGGCCUCUACAUGUAAGCUAUCACUGAAGGAGGGGAUUGCGUCUGAUUAGCUAGUUGGAGGGGUAACGGCCCACCAAGGCGAUGAUCAGUAGCCGGUCUGAGAGGAUGAACGGCCACAUUGGGACUGAGACACGGCCCAGACUCCUACGGGAGGCAGCAUG
rnacentral:rRNA from 1 species